GACCUUUCGUCUCGCGAAUGCAUCCNGAUGUUUANUGAUCCUGGCUCAGAGUGANCGCUGGCGNUANGCCUAACACAUGCAAGUCGAACGGCAGCACAGGAGAGCUUGCUCUCUGGGUGGCGAGUGGCGGACGGGUGGGGAAUACAUCGGAAUCUACUCUGUCGUGGGGGAUAACGUAGGAAACUUACGCUAAUACCGCAUACGACCUACGGGUGAAAGCAGGGGAUCUUCGGACCUUGCGCGAUUGAAUGAGCCGAUGUCGGAUUAGCUAGUUGGCGGGGUAAAGGCCCACCAAGGCGACGAUCCGUAGCUGGUCUGAGAGGAUGAUCAGCCACACUGGAACUGAGACACGGUCCAGACUCCUACGGGAGGCAGCAGUGGGGAAUAUUGGACAAUGGGCGCAAGCCUGAUCCAGCCAUACCGCGUGGGUGAAGAAGGCCUUCGGGUUGUAAAGCCCUUUUGUUGGGAAAGAAAUCCAGCUGGCUAAUACCUGGUUGGGAUGACGGUACCCAAAGAAUAAGCACCGGCUAACUUCGUGCCAGCAGCCGCGGUAAUACGAAGGGUGCAAGCGUUACUCGGAAUUACUGGGCGUAAAGCGUGCGUAGGUGGUCGGUUUAAGUCCGUUUGUGAAAGCCCUNGGCUCAACCUGGGAACUGCACGUGGAUACUGGGCGANUU
rnacentral:rRNA from 1 species